rnacentral:rRNA from 1 species
UUCGGCAAACCUGCCAUCUUCCUAACUAUGACUUGCAACCCAAACUGGCCCGAGAUACAGGACGCGCUACUUCCAGGCCAAAAUUUGCAGGACCAACCAGACCUCGUGGCCCGAGUGUUUAGGUCCAAACUGGAGACGAUGAAAGACAUGAUGACCAAGAAGCAUAUCCUAGGCGUCCUGAAGGGGGUAGAGUUUACCGAAAAAGGCUUUCACCCCGCUUUAUAA